AACGCUGGCGGCGUGCCUAACACAUGCAAGUCGAGCGAGGAGAUCCUCGGGAUGAUCCUAGCGGCGGACGGGUGAGUAACACGUGGGCAACCUGCCUCAUAGAGAGGAAUAGCCUUCCGAAAGGGAGAUUAAUACCUCAUAACAUUGCAGUUUCGCAUGAAACAGCAAUUAAAGGAGCAAUCCGCUAUGAGAUGGGCCCGCGGCGCAUUAGCUAGUUGGUGAGGUAACGGCUCACCAAGGCGACGAUGCGUAGCCGACCUGAGAGGGUGAUCGGCCACAUUGGGACUGAGACACGGCCCAGACUCCUACGGGAGGCAGCAGUGGGGAAUAUUGCACAAUGGGGGAAACCCUGAUGCCAGCAACGCCGCGUGAGUGAUGACGGCCUUCGGGUUGUAAAGCUCUGUCUUCAGGGACGAUAAUGACGGUACCUGAGGAGGAAGCCACGGCUAACUACGUGCCAGCCGCCGC
rnacentral:rRNA from 1 species